UACGGAGGGUGCGAGCGUUAAUCGGAAUAACUGGGCGUAAAGCGCACGCAGGCGGUCAUACAAGCUAGAUGUGAAAGCCCCGGGCUCAACCUGGGAUGGUCAUUUAGAACUGUAUGACUAGAGUUUUGUAGAGGGGGGUGGAAUUCCAGGUGUAGCGGUGAAAUGCGUAGAUAUCUGGAGGAACAUCAGUGGCGAAGGCGACCCCCUGGACAAAGACUGACGCUCAUGUGCGAAAGUGUGGGUAGCGAACAGG
rnacentral:rRNA from 1 species